GACGAACGCUGGCGGCGUGCCUAACACAUGCAAGUCGAGCGAAGUGAGUACUACGGUACGAACUUAGCGGCGGACGGGUGAGUAACGCGUGGACAAUCUACCCUGUAGACUGGGAUAACACCUCGAAAGGGGUGCUAAUACCGGAUAAUGUCGAGAAGCGGCAUCGCUUUUCGAAGAAAGGAGAGAAUCCGCUAUAGGAGGAGUCCGCGUCCCAUUAGCUAGUUGGGGGGGGUAACGGCCCACCAAGGCGACGAUGGGUAGCCGGCCUGAGAGGGUGAACGGCCACACUGGAACUGAGACACGGUCCAGACUCCUACGGGAGGCAGCAGUGGGGAAUAUUGUGCAAUGGGGGAAACCCUGACACAGCAACGCCGCGUGAGCGAAGAAGGCCUUCGGGUUGUAAAGCUCAAUAGUAUGGGAAGAUAAUGACGGUACCAUACGAAAGCCCCGGCUAACUACGUGCCAGCCGCCGCCGUAACAC
rnacentral:rRNA from 1 species